AUUGAACGCUGGCGGCAGGCCUAACACACGCAAGUCGAGCGGAUGAAGAGAGCUUGCUCUCUGAUUUAGCGGCGGACGGGUGAGUAAUGCCUAGGAAUCUGCCUGGUAGUGGGGGAUAACGUUCCGAAAGGAACGCUAAUACCGCAUACGUCCUACGGGAGAAAGCAGGGGACCUUCGGGCCUUGCGCUAUCAGAUGAGCCUAGGUCGGAUUAGCUAGUUGGUGAGGUAAUGGCUCGCCAAGGCUACGAUCCGUAACUGGUCUGAGAGGAUGAUCAGUCACACUGGAACUGAGACACGGUCCAGUCUCAUACGGGAGGCAGAAGUGGGGAAUAUUGGACAAUGGGCUAACGCCUGCUUCAGCCAUGCCGCGUGUGUGAAGAAGGUCUUCGGAUUGUAAAGCACUUUAAGUUUGGAGGAAGGGCAGUAAGUUAAUACCUUGCUGUUUUGACGUUACCGACAGAAUAAGCACCGGCUAACUUCGUGCCAACCGCCGCCGUAAAAC
rnacentral:rRNA from 1 species